AUUGAACGCUGGCGGCAGGCCUAACACAUGCAAGUCGAGCGGAUGAACGGAGCUUGCUCCUGGAUUCAGCGGCGGACGGGUGAGUAAUGCCUAUGAAUCUGCUUGGUAGUGGGGGAUAACGUCCGGAAACGGGUGCUAAUACCGCAUACGUCCAGAGGGAGAAAGUGGGGGAUCUUCGGACCUCUCGCUCUCAGAUGAGCCUAGGUCGGAUUAGUUAGCUGGUGGGUUAAAGGCCUACCAAGGCGAGGAUUCGUAACUGGUCGGAGUGGAGGAGAGGUCACAUUGGAGCGUGGACACGGACAAUGGUACUACGAGAGGGAGCAGUGGGGAACAGGGGACAGUAGGCGAAAAUCUGAUCCAGCCGUGCCACGUGUGAGAAGAAAGUCUUCGGAGUGUAAAGAACUUUAAGUGGGUGGGAAGGGCAGUAAGUUAAUACCAUGCUGUUUUGACGGUACCAACAGAAGAAGCACCGGCUAACUUCGUG
rnacentral:rRNA from 1 species